UCCUAAUGUAACCAUUAUUGCAGCUGUGG
rnacentral:piRNA from 1 species